UGGGGAAUAUUGCACAAUGGGCGAAAGCCUGAUGCAGCGACGCCGCGUGAGGGAUGACGGCCUUCGGGUUGUAAACCUCUUUCAGCAGGGAAGAAGCGGAAGUGACGGUACCUGCAGAAGAAGCACCGGCUAACUACGUGCCAGCAGCCGCGGUAAUACGUAGGGUGCGAGCGUUGUCCGGAAUUAUUGGGCGUAAAGAGCUUGUAGGCGGUUUGUCGCGUCUGCUGUGAAAAUCCGGGGCUCAACUCCGGACUUGCAGUGGGUACGGGCAGGCUAGAGUGUGGUAGGGAAGACUGGAAUUCCUGGUGUAGCGGUGGAAUGCGCAGAUAUCAGGAGGAACACCGAUGGCGAAGGCAGGUCUCUGGGCCACUACUGACGCUGAGAAGCGAAAGCAUGGGGAGCGAACAGGAUUAGAUACCCUGGUAGUCCAUGCCGUAAACGUUGGGCGCUAGGUGUGGGACUCAUUCCACGAGUUCCGUGCCGCAGCUAACGCAUUAAGCGCCCCGCCUGGGGAGUACGGCCGCAAGGCUAA
rnacentral:rRNA from 1 species